GGCAGGCUUAACACAUGCAAGUCGAGGGGCAGCGGGGAGGAAGCUUGCUUUCUCCGCCGGCGACCGGCGCACGGGUGAGUAACACGUAUGCAACCUGCCCCUGUCAGGGGGACAACCCGCCGAAAGGCGGGCUAAACCCGCGUACAUGCCACCGGGGCAUCCCGGAGGCAGGAAAGGCUUCGGCCGGACAGGGAUGGGCAUGCGGCGCAUUAGGCAGUAGGCGGGGUAACGGCCCACCUAACCGACGAUGCGUAGGGGUUCUGAGAGGAAGGUCCCCCACACUGGUACUGAGACACGGACCAGACUCCUACGGGAGGCAGCAGUGAGGAAUAUUGGUCAAUGGUCGGGAGACUGAACCAGCCAAGCCGCGUGAGGGAGGAAGGUACAGAGUAUCGUAAACCUCUUUUGUCAGGGAACAAAGGCGGGGACGUGUCCCCGGAUGAGUGUACCUGAAGAAAAAGCAUCGGCUAACUCCGUGCCAGCAGCCGCGGUAAUACGGAGGAUGCGAGCGUUAUCCGGAUUUAUUGGGUUUAAAGGGUGCGCAGGCGGUCUGUUAAGUCAGCGGUCAAAGCCCGGGGCUCAACCCCGGCCCGCCGUUGAAACUGGCAGUCUCGAGUUGGAGAGAAGUAUGCGGAAUGCGCGGUGUAGCGGUGAAAUGCAUAGAUAUCGCGCAGAACUCCGAUUGCGAAGGCAGCAUGCCGGCUCCACACUGACGCUGAGGCACGGAAGCGUGGGUAUCGAACAGGAUUAGAUACCCUGGUAGUCCACGCAGUAAACGAUGAAUGCUGGCUGUCCGGGGGGACUGACCCCUGGGGGCGAAGCGAAAGCGAUAAGCAUUCCACCUGGGGAGUACGCCGGCAACGGUGAAACUCAAAGGAAUUGACGGGGGCCCGCACAAGCGGAGGAACAUGUGGUUUAAUUUGAUGAUACGCGAGGAACCUUACCCGGGCUCAAACGGGGAGUGGCGCAGGCAGAGACGCCUGUUUCCCACGGGACACUCCCCGAGGUGCUGCAUGGUUGUCGUCAGCUCGUGCCGUGAGGUGUCGGCUUAAGUGCCAUAACGAGCGCAACCCCCGCGUGCAGUUGCUAACAGUCAACGCUGAGGACUCUGCACGGACUGCCGGCGCAAGCCGCGAGGAAGGCGGGGAUGACGUCAAAUCAGCACGGCCCUUACGUCCGGGGCGACACACGUGUUACAAUGGGUGGUACAGCGGGAAGCCAGGCGGCGACGCCGAGCGGAACCCGAAAUCCACUCUCAGUUCGGAUCGGAGUCUGCAACCCGACUCCGUGAAGCUGGAUUCGCUAGUAAUCGCGCAUCAGCCAUGGCGCGGUGAAUACGUUCCCGGGCCUU
rnacentral:rRNA from 1 species